rnacentral:rRNA from 1 species
GAUCCUGACUCAGGAUAAACGCUGGCGGCGCACAUAAGACAUGCAAGUCGAACGGAAGUCGUUAUAAAAAGGAUUGAAGAUUUAUCUGAUUGAGAUUUUAUAACAAUGGCUUUAGUGGCGGACUGGUGAGUAACGCGUGAGCAACCUGCCUACUAGAGGGGAAUAACAGUGAGAAAUCAUUGCUAAUACCGCAUAUGCCAUGAACAUCACAUGGUGAAAAUGGGAAAAGAG